rnacentral:rRNA from 1 species
UACGUAGGUGGCAAGCGUUGUCCGGAAUUAUUGGGCGUAAAGCGCGCGCAGGCGGCGGUGUUGGCCCGGCGUGAAAGCCCCCGGCUCAACCGGGGAGAGUCGUCGGGGACCGCACCGCUUGAGGGCGGUAGGGGCUGGUGGAAUGCCUGGUGUAGUGGUGAAAUGCGUAGAGAUCAGGCAGAACACCUGGGGCGAAGGCGGCCAGCUGGGCCGUCCCUGACGCUGAGGCGCGAAGGCGUGGGGAGCGAACGGG